AACGAACGUUAGCGGCGCGCUUAACACAUGCAAGUCGAACGAGAAAGGGCUUCGGCCCCGGUACAGUGGCGCACGGGUGAGUAACACGUAGGUAAUCUAUCCUCGAGUGGUGGAUAACAUCCCGAAAGGGGUGCUAAUACAGCAUAAGACCACACUUUCGAAAGGGAGAGGGGUCAAAGCGGGCCAAUCUAUGGAAGCUCGCGCUUGAGGAUGAGCCUGCGGCGCAUCAGCUAGUUGGUGGGGUAAUGGCCUACCAAGGCAUAGACGCGUAGCUGGUCUGAGAGGAUGAUCAGCCACACUGGAACUGAGACACGGUCCAG
rnacentral:rRNA from 1 species